CCUACGGGAGGCAGCAGUGGGGAAUAUUGCACAAUGGGGGAAACCCUGAUGCAGCGACGCCGCGUGAGUGAAGAAGUAAUUCGGUAUGUAAAGCUCUAUCAGCAGGGAAGAAAAUGACGGUACCUGAGUAAGAAGCCCCGGCUAACUACGUGCCAGCAGCCGCGGUAAUACGUAGGGGGCAAGCGUUAUCCGGAUUUACUGGGUGUAAAGGGAGCGUAGACGGCAGUGCAAGUCUGGAGUGAAAGGCGGGGGCUCAACCCCCGGACUGCUCUGGAAACUGUACGGCUGGAGUGCAGGAGAGGUAAGUGGAAUGCCUAGUGUAGCGGUGAAAUGCGUAGAUAUUAGGAGGAACACCAGUGGCGAAGGCGGCUUACUGGACUGUAACUGACGUUGAGGCUCGAAAGCGUGGGGAGCAAACAGGAUUAGAUACCCCUGUAGUC
rnacentral:rRNA from 1 species